rnacentral:rRNA from 1 species
GACGAACGCUGGCGGCGUGCUUAACACAUGCAAGUCGAACGGAAAGGCCCUGCUUUUGUGGGGUGCUCGAGUGGCGAACGGGUGAGUAACACGUGAGUAACCUGCCCUUGACUUUGGGAUAACUUCAGGAAACUGGGGCUAAUACCGGAUAGGAGCUCCUGCUGCAUGGUGGGGGUUGGAAAGUUUCGGCGGUUGGGGAUGGACUCGCGGCUUAUCAGCUUGCUGGUGGGGUAGUGGCUUACCAAGGCUUUGACGGGUAGCCGGCCUGAGAGGGUGACCGGCGACAUUGGGACUGAGAUACGGACCAGACUGCUACGGGAGGCAGCAGUGGGGAAUAUGGCACAAUGGGCGGAAGCCUGAUGCAGCAGCGCCGCGUGCGGGAUGACGGCCUUCGGGUUGUAAACCGCUUUAGCCUGUGACGAAGCGUGAGUGACGGUAAUGGAUAAAGAAGCACCGGCUAACUACGUG